UACGUAGGGGGCGAGCGUUGUCCGGAAUUACUGGGCGUAAAGGGCGUGUAGGCGGCGAUUUAAGUUAGGCGUGAAAGACCCCGGCUUAACCGGGGGGUUGCGUCUAAGACUGGGUUGCUUGAGAGCAGGAGAGGAGAACGGAAUUCCCGGUGUAGCGGUGAUAUGCGUAGAUAUCGGGAGGAACACCAGUGGCGAAGGCGGUUCUCUGGUCUGCAACUGACGCUGAGGCGCGAAAGCUGGGGGAGCAAACAGGAUUAGAUACCCUGGUAGUCCCAGCUGUAAACGAUGGAUACUAGGUGUAGGAGGUGUCGACCCCUUCUGUGCCGGAGUUAACGCAAUAAGUAUCCCGCCUGGGGAGUACGGCCGCAAGGUUGAA
rnacentral:rRNA from 1 species